GGCUCAGAUUGAACGCUGGCGGCAUGCUUUACACAUGCAAGUCGAACGGUAACAGGUCUUCGGGCGCUGACGAGUGGCGAACGGGUGAGUAAUGCAUCGGAACGUGCCCAGUCGUGGGGGAUAACGCAGCGAAAGCUGUGCUAAUACCGCAUACGAUCUGCGGAUGAAAGCGGGGGACCUUCGGGCCUCGCGCGAUUGGAGCGGCCGAUGUCAGAUUAGGUAGUUGGUGGGGUAAAGGCCUACCAAGCCGACGAUCUGUAGCUGGUCUGAGAGGACGACCAGCCACACUGGGACUGAGACACGGCCCAGACUCCUACGGGAGGCAGCAGUGGGGAAUUUUGGACAAUGGGCGCAAGCCUGAUCCAGCAAUGCCGCGUGCAGGAAGAAGGCCUUCGGGUUGUAAACUGCUUUUGUACGGAACGAAAAGGCUCUGGUUAAUACCUGGGGCUCAUGACGGUACCGUAAGAAUAAGCACCGGCUAACUACGUG
rnacentral:rRNA from 1 species